ensembl:lncRNA
CAGACUCGACUCCUCCCAGACCCACUAGCCGCUGACUCGCUGUUUGUUCGUUGUGAGUGGUGAAAGGGGAAGAGUCUUUUUGAGCGAGGCAGCGAGCGUACGAUAAUACGCUUCAAUACCACUGAAAUGAACAAAUAACUGUUGCCAGACAGAGGGGGGCUGCCCUUCUUCUCCUGCAAGGAGCAAGGAGAAGACGAAGGGUUUGGGUGCACCCCAUCAAUGAACGGAGACAAGAACAGGGGGUAUGCCACAAUCUGGUCCAGGAGCUCCGUGCAGAUCCUGAGAGGCACGCCAAUAUUUCAAUUCGCUACUAAGUGUGCAAUGGCAGAACCAUAUGGUGCAGCCUAUAUGAUGACCUAUAAUCUAGUUAUUAUCCCUCUCUGGUAUACUCUUUUGCAUAUAUAUACUUUUUUUUUAUCCCUCGGGAUAAAUACAGUGAUGUUAUUGCUGUGCUGGAUUCAGUAGCCAGUGUAUUUUAUUUGAGUGCUCGAGACACUUAAUGUUAUUUUUCCCUAAAUCCAGAGAGACAGUUAAUGCAUGAUCUGAUACCAGAGAGACAGUUAAUACAUGACAAUGCAUUUUUGAGCUUUGCCUGUGUUUCCUUUUACUUAUCUAUUUUAUUGUAUGAGAAUGUUUCUAUGUGAAGCACUUUGAGUCUGCUUCAUGUAUUAAAAGUGCUAUAUGAAUGAAGUUGCCUUGCC